rnacentral:lncRNA from 1 species
UUUGAGAGGUGGUUUCCUUUUUUUUCUUUUUUUUCCUUUUUUUUUACAACUUUAAAUACAGUACUGAGUAUAAAUUAAUCUUACAUUAAAAAAAAAGGGGAAAAAUUAAAAUUAAAAUAAAACCUCACCAUCUUUACAAACCAAAAGAAACAGAUUCUGGAACAGGAAAACAAAGUGUCUUAAGACUUGAGGGCUUGGGGAUGGAGGGAGGGAGCAACGUGCCGCCUUGGCAGUGGUACGAGAAGCGCUCUGGGCUUGCAGGAGGCGAGGGCUGGGUCCCUCCAAGACCUGUAACAGCUCCCAGGUUGUGGCUUCUCCUCCUUCCCCCGGGGCUGUGCCUGUGUGUGUAGGAGAAGCGGCUGGAGCAGGAGGGGCACGGGCUGCCACAGGAGCUCUGGGCAGGCAUUUCUUCAUGUCUAACUGCAGUGCCCAGCACGGCACAAUCUGAGAUGGGGACUCUGCAGUGGUGCUGGAAAUUCCCAUCCCACGUAACGUUUCUGCUAACAGUGACUGAGUAUUAGGUGUGCAGAAAUAGCUCUUGUUCCUAGUGUCCCCCUCCCUCCUCUGGAGCAGGCAGUGGCACAGGAGGGACCCUACGACUGACCCUCCCGUUGUGCUCCGAGUCCUCCUCACUUAGAAGAGCUCAUUUCUCUCUCAGGUGGCUGCUGCCAACUGCAAAGACCAUCCUCAUUUGUUUCUCAAUACCUCCAUAGAGCUGCCCACAUCUCGGACAAACUUCCAAGCUAGGUGGGAACAUCCAACAGGCAAAAAUCGAGAAGGAAUUUGAGAGGGAAGAUGGGAGGAAAACGAUGGGAGAUGUAGGGACAUUGUCAGGAAGAGAGCAGUGGAGGCAUGGUGUGCAGGACACCCGUGAAGGGGUUAAAAACCUCGCGGGAAUGACAUGAUGCUGCUCUCAGGACCACAGAGCAGGCAAGGACAGCUCACUGAGAUUAAGUCAUGCUUCUAAGUUUGGCUGCUGUUGGUCUCGUUGUGGUGCCACUUCGCCUCCUGCA